rnacentral:rRNA from 1 species
UGAGGAAUAUUGGUCAAUGGACGGAAGUCUGAACCAGCCAAGUCGCGUGAAGGAUGACUGCCCUAUGGGUUGUAAACUUCUUUUGUAUUGGGAGAAUAAGCCUUACGUGUAAGGUGAUGACUGUACAAUACGAAUAAGCAUCGGCUAACUCCGUGCCAGCAGCCGCGGUAAUACGUAGGGGGCAAGCGUUAUCCGGAAUUACUGGGUGUAAAGGGAGCGUAGGCGGGAAGGCAAGUUGAAUGUAUAAUCUAUGGGCUCAACCCAUAGCGGCGUUCAAAACUGCUUUUCUUGAGUGAAGUAGAGGUUGGCGGAAUUCCUAGUGUAGCGGUGAAAUGCGUAGAUAUUAGGAAGAACACCAGUGGCGAAGGCGACUUACUGGACUGAAACUGACGCUGAGGCUCGAAAGCGUGGGGAGCGAACA